rnacentral:rRNA from 1 species
GACGGAGCACCCGCCCCGGCUUGUGAGCGGAGGCAGCAUUUGGGAAUUUUGGCCAAGGGGGAAUCCUGAACCCGCCAUCCCGGGGAUGCGAUAAAGCCCUUGGGUUUUAAAACCCUUUUGGCAAGGAAAAAAAUGCUUUUGGUUAAUACCUGGAGCGGGUGCCGGUACGUGCAGAAUAAGUACCUGUUUAACUACGUCCCAGCAGCUGCGGUAAUGCGUAGGGUUCAAGCGUAUAUUCGGAGUUCUAGGCGUAAAGCGUGCGCAGUCGAUUUGGCAAGAAGGAUGUGAAAUCCCCGGGCUUAACCUCGGAUCUGCAUUGUUAACUGCCAGGCUAGAGUAUGUCAGAGGGGUGUAGAAUUCCGCGUGUAGCAGUGAAAUGCGUAGAGAUGCGGAGGAAUCCCGAUGGCGAAGGCAGCCCCCUGGGAUAAUACUGACGCUCAUGCACGAAAGCGUGGCGAGCAAACAGGAUUAGAUACCCUGGUAGUCCACGCCCUAAACGAUGUCAACUAGCUGUUGGGGCCUUCGGACCUUAGUAGCGCAGCUAACGCGUGAAGUUGACCGCCUGGGGAGUACGGUCGCAAGAUUAAAACUCAAAGGAAUUGACGGGGACCCGCACAAGCGGUGGAUGAUGUGGAUUAAUUCGAUGCAACGCGAAAAACCUUACCUACCCUUGACAUGUCUGGAAUCCUUUAGAGAUAGAGGAGUGCUCGCAAGAGAACCGGAACACAGGUGCUGCAUGGCUGUCGUCAGCUCGUGUCGUGAGAUGUUGGGUUAAGUCCCGCAACGAGCGCAACCCUUGUCAUUAGUUGCUACGAAAGGGCACUCUAAUGAGACUGCCGGUGACAAACCGGAGGAAGGUGGGGAUGACGUCAAGUCCUCAUGGCCCUUAUGGGUAGGGCUUCACACGUCAUCCAAUGGUCGGGACAGAGGGUCGCCAACCCGCGAGGGGGAGCCAAUCCCAGAAACCCGAUCGUAGUCCGGAUUGCAGUCUGCAACUCGACUGCAUGAAGUCGGAAUCGCUAGUAAUCGCGGAUCAGCAUGUCGCGGUGAAUACGUUCCCCGGGUCUUGUACACCCCGCCCGUCACAACCAUGGAGAGUGGGUUUUACCCAGAAAGUAGGUAGCCUAAGCCGUAAAGGGAGGGGCGCUUAAUCCUACGGUGGUCCCCGG